rnacentral:rRNA from 1 species
GAUGAACGCUGGCUGUGUGCCUAAUACAUGCAUGUCGAGCGAAGCACUUUUGUGCUUAGCGGCGAAUGGGUGAGUAACACGUACUUAACCUACCCUCAAGAUUGGGACAACACUUGGAAACGAGUGCUAAUACCAAAUACGUAUUUUUAUCGCAUGAUAGAUAUAUAAAAGGAGCUUCGGCUUCACUAGAGGAUGGGAGUGCGCUACAUUAGUUAGUUGGUAGGGUAAUGGCCUACCAAGACUAUGAUGUAUAGCGGGGCCGAGAGGCUGAUCCGCCACACUGGGACUGAGAUACGGCCCAGACUCCUACGGGAGGCAGCAGUAGGGAAUUUUCCACAAUGAACGAAAGUUUGAUGGAGCGACACAGCGUGCAGGAUGAAGGUCUUCGGAUUGUAAACUGCUGUUAUAAGAGAAGAAAAACCCUGGUAGGUAAUGACCAGGACUUGACGGUACCUUAUCAGAAAGCGACGGCUAACUAUGUGCCAGCAGCCGCGGUAAUACAUAGGUCGCAAGCGUUAUCCGGAAUUAUUGGGCGUAAAGAGUUCGUAGGUGGUUUUGUAAGUCUGAAGUUAAAUACCGGGGCUCAACCCCGGCCCGCUUUGGAUACUGCAAAACUAGAGUAAUAGAGAGGUUAGUGGAACUCCAAGUGAAGCGGUGGAAUGCGUAGAUAUUUGGAAGAACACCAAUGGCGAAGGCAACUAACUGGAUAUUAACUGACACUGGGGAACGAAAGCGUGGGUAGCAAACAGG